rnacentral:rRNA from 1 species
AGAGUGAACGCUGGCGGUAGGCCUAACACAUGCAAGUCGAACGGCAGCACGGUAAGAGCUUGCUCUUAUGGGUGGCGAGUGGCGGACGGGUGAGGAAUACAUCGGAAUCUACCUUUUGGUGGGGGAUAACGUAGGGAAACUUACGCUAAUACCGCAUACGCCCUUCGGGGGAAAGCCGGGGACCAGCAAUGGCCUGGCGCUGAUAGAUGAGCCGAUGUCGGAUUAGCUAGUUGGUGGGUAAUGGCUCACCAAGGCGACGAUCCGUAGCUGGUCUGAGAGGAUGAUCAGCCACACUGGAACUGAGACACGGUCCAGACUCCUACGGGAGCAGCAGUGGGGAAUAUGGACAAGUGGGCGCAAGCCUGAUCCAGCCAUACCGCGUGGGUGAAGAGGCCUUCGGUUGUAAAGUCCCGUUUAGUUACGGUAAAGAAAGCAAGUUACGGUUAAUACCCCGGGUGUUACGUAGACGGUUAACCCAAAGUAACGUAAGCGAACCGG